UACGUAGGUGGCAAGCGUUGUCCGGAUUUACUGGGCGUAAAGAGCGCGCAGGCGGUCGUUCAAGUCGCGUGUGAAAUCUCCCGGCUCAACUGGGAGGGUGCGCCGAAUACUGAAUGACUUCGAGUGCGGGAGAGGAGAGUGGAAUUCCUGGUGUAGCGGUGAAAUGCGUAGAUAUCAGGAGGAACACCGGUGGUGUAGACGGCUCUCUGGACCGUAACUGACGCUGAGACACGAAAGCGUGGGUAGCAAACAGG
rnacentral:rRNA from 1 species